UUUGAAAAUCAAUGACCAUGUGUCUAAACAAGCAGCGCUGCAACUCCCCCCAACAAUGCCACCAACCCCAUGCUGCUCCCAUGCACAAACCCACCACUGGGCGGCGGCGUGGGUGAAGGAGGAGGUGAUGAACCAGGCCCGCCGGCUGGAGGAGGAGAUGUUGCAGGCGGCGAAGCUGUAGACGGGCCGGGUGAUCCCUCCGACGGAGGAGGCGCAGGUGGUGAGAUAGCAGUUGGUGAGCUAGCCGGGCUUGGGCUCAUUGAAGGAGUGGCCGCUGGUGGAGGUGACGAUACCGGCGAGGUAGUCGGGGAUGGCGAAAUUGAGGUAGUCGGGGAUGGCGAAAUUGAGGUAGUCGGGGAUGGCGAAAUUGAGGUCGGUGGGGUUGCUGGCGUGGCCACGCUUGGUGGUGGGGUUGCCAUAGUUGUUGGGGGAGUGGCGGUGGGGGGCGUUGCGGUGGAGGGGGGAGACGCUGGAGAGGUGGAGGGGGACUGAGCGAGGGAGGAUGCGGCGAAGGUCAGGGAGAG
rnacentral:lncRNA from 1 species